rnacentral:rRNA from 1 species
CAAAGGAAUUGACGGGGGCCCGCACAAGCGGAGGAACAUGUGGUUUAAUUCGAUGAUACGCGAGGAACCUUACCUGGGCUUAAAUGUAGAGUGCAUAGGGUAGAAAUAUCCUUUUCCUUCGGGACUCUUUGCAAGGUGCUGCAUGGUUGUCGUCAGCUCGUGCCGUGAGGUGUCGGGUUAAGUCCCAUAACGAGCGCAACCCUUAUCGUUAGUUGCCGGCGGGUAAUGCCGGGAACUCUAACGAAACUGCCGGUGUAAACCGUGAGGAAGGUGGGGAUGACGUCAAAUCAGCACGGCCCUUAUGUCCAGGGCUACACACGUGUUACAAUGGCCGGUACAGAGGGCAGCUACCCGGAGACAGGAUGCGAAUCUCAAAAGCCGGUCUCAGUUCGGAUCGGAGUCUGCAACUCGACUCCGUGAAGCUGGAUUCGCUAGUAAUACGCGCAUCAGCCAUGGCGCGGUGAAUACGUUCCCGGGCCUUGUACCAUAUGCGUAUUCCUACGGGAGGCAGCAGUGAGGAAUAUUGGUCAAUGGGCGUAAGCCUGAACCAGCCAUCCCGCGUGAAGGAAGAAGGCGCUAUGCGUCGUAAACUUCUUUUCCAGAAAAAGAAAACCCCCGACGUGUCGGGGCUUGCCGGUACUCUGGGAAUAAGCAUCGGCUAACUCCGUGCCAGCAGCCGCGGUAAUACGGAGGAUGCGAGCGUUAUCCGGAUUUAUUGGGUUUAAAGGGUGCGUAGGCGGAUUAAUAAGUCAGUGGUGAAAACCUUCAGCUUAACUGGAGACUUGCCAUUGAUACUGUUAGUCUUGAGUACGGUCAAGGUAGGCGGAAUGUGUAAUGUAGCGGUGAAAUGCUUAGAUAUUACACAGAACACCGAUUGCGAAGGCAGCUUACUGGGCCAUUACUGACGCUGAGGCACGAAAGCGUGGGGAGCGAACAGGAUUAGAUACCCUGGUAGUCCACGCCGUAAACGAUGAUC